UGGGGAAUCUUGGACAAUGGGCGCAAGCCUGAUCCAGCCAUGCCGCGUGAGUGAAGAAGGCCUUCGGGUUGUAAAGCUCUUUUACCAGGGACGAUAAUGACGGUACCUGGAGAAUAAGCCCCGGCAAACUUCGUGCCAGCAGCCGCGGUAAUACGAAGGGGGCUAGCGUUGUUCGGAAUUACUGGGCGUAAAGCGCACGUAGGCGGAUUGUUAAGUCAGAGGUGAAAUCCCGGAGCUCAACUUCGGAACUGCCUUUGAUACUGGCAAUCUCGGGUCCGGAAGAGGUUAGUGGAAUUCCCAGUGUAGAGGUGAAAUUCGUAGAUAUUGGGAAGAACACCAGUGGCGAAGGCGGCUAACUGGUCCGGUACUGACGCUGAGGUGCGAAAGCGUGGGGAGCAAACAGGAUUAGAUACCCCAGUAGUCCCUGAGCGGGCUGGCAAGGCGCAU
rnacentral:rRNA from 1 species